GACAGAGGGUGCAAACGUUGUUCGGAAUUACUGGGCGUAAAGCGUGUGUAGGCGGCUUUGCAAGUCGGAUGUGAAAGCCCCGGGCUCAACCCGGGAAGUGCACUCGAUACUGCAGAGCUUGAGUGUGGGAGAGGUUGGUGGAAUUCUCGGGUGUAGAGGUGAAAUUCGUAGAGAUGUGGAGGAAUACCGAUGGCGAAGGCAGCCCCCUGGGAUAACACUGACGCUCAUGCACGAAAGCGUGGGGAGCAAACAGG
rnacentral:rRNA from 1 species